rnacentral:snRNA from 1 species
AUACUUACCUGGCAGGGGUGACUCCAUGAUCAAGCAGGUGGAUCACCUAGAGCGAGGAUCAGCCAUUGCACUUCGGCUUUCUGACCUCUAUGAAUUCUCCACAUGUGGGAAUCUCAACUGCAUAAUUUCUGCUAGUGGGGACUGCGUUCGCGCUUUCCCCU